rnacentral:misc_RNA from 1 species
AUAGGACAACAAACAUCAUAUCUUCCCUGUACAAUUGUAGUAUUUAUAUGCCUUAUUUUGUGAACAUUGUCUAAUAGGAAAGAAUCUGAUGGAAAGAAGCCCUUGUUCACAAAGUAAUGGUUUUCAAUCCUUGCAAAUGCCAAAGAAAAAUCAUCAUCAUCCCCUCUCUUGAUGUUCUCUUCAUUUGGAAGAAGAUGGGCAGUCAUCAUUUCCCAUUUGGUCCAUGCUCUUGCAGCUGCGUAUUGUGUUUCCAUAUCAUCAGAGUUCAACCUCUUGCUGUAAGCAUCAAUGAAACAUCCCCUUUCAUUUUCUGGGAUAAGAUCUCUAAAUGGUUCCCAAGCAUCCGGGUAAAUAGCCGCAGCACCACCCUCAUAAAACCAAUCAAUCUCUUUCUUUCGCAGAAGAAAGAUCCCUCUGAGGACCAUGCCAGUAACCUUGUCAGGAUGAGCUUGACUGUAUGCAAGAGCUAGUGUACUUCCCCAUGACCCACCAAAUACCUGCCAUUCUGGAAUCUCCAAGUGUUCUCUUAGCUUUUCAAUGUCAGCAAUGAGGUCCCAUGAGGUGUUUUCCACUAAGCAAGCAUGAGGUGUACUCCUUCCUGCACCCCUCUGAUCAAAUAGAAUUAUUCGGUAAAAUUCUGGAUUGAAAAAUCUACGAUUACUUGGUGUGGUUCCUCCUCCAGGGCCUCCAUGAAGAAAGACAACCGGAUGCCCGCUGGGAUUUCCGGACUGCUCAUAGUAGAUAGUGUGAAGAUCAGAAACCUUCAAAAAACCAGUACUAUACGGCUCAAUUGGUUCAUAAAGAUUCCGAUUAAGCUCAGAUGAUGUCUCCUUCCCCGGUUCCAUCAACUCAAAAAGUUGUGAUUCACUCUUAUACCCAAGAUUUCGUACACGUAACACUAAACUCCUCCUUCUGGCGAAAGGAUGAGGGAGGGAAGGAAGAUGACAAGGAAGGAGAGGGAGAGAGGGAGGAGAGGAAGCGAGCGAAGGAGUGAGUGAAACUAUGGAAAAACUAAAACCUAAUAAACCCAUUGGCGAU